AAUCUCCAUCCUGCAAUGUGCAGAGAGGAGGCUGGGAUGGGAUGGAUGGGAUGGGCCAGUGACUGCAGAAGAGGGAAAACAGCGAUUUUUGACCCCUUGCGGGGCUCAGGUGUGAACUUGAAGAUGUGUGAAGGAGGAAAAGAAGGCAGAUGGGGAGCUGCAGCCCUCUUGCCCAUGCCCUAGGCGGGUAGGUGUUGCUGCUGCUCCCCCUCUUUGCAGGGUAACUCUAGGACUGCUCCUAAGACAUUUUCAUCCUGUCUUUGGCUGUCCUUCUCUUAGGGUUAUCACAAGCUGAAAACGGCUGUCACUCAGGAAAAGCGGGCGACAUGCUCCCUCUAUAGGCUUUUCUGGUUGUUGCUCUCAUGAGCUAGCUGUCCAGGGGAUCAGAGCAUCAGAUGCAGGCUUUGAAGGCUGAUGAAAACUCAUAAGUUCAUUUAUUUUAAAUUUAGAGAUGAUUUUUGUAUGUUAUGUGUAUACAUAUGUGGACAGGUGUUUGUGUAUUUAUAUAUGUUUGCUAACACCCAUGUAUAUAGCUACUUUUUCUGCAGAAGCCACAUAUGGAACAAGUUUUACUGUUUAGUCUUAGUCUUUUUUGAACCAAUAUAUUAUACUUUUUUGUAUGAAUUUUCUGUUUGUUAAUGGCAUUAUGAUAGCACCCUUUUGAUGGCAUUCAACCUCUAUUAAGGGAAGAGACCAUCUGAACCAAGGCAUGCUUCCUUGGCGGUGCCCGCAAUCCUGACUGCUUUCCUCCCCGCUGCGUCCCAGGGCCCGACCUCCUCGCUUGCACCAGCACUGCAGUUCCUGGUGUCACUCUGAUAACAAAAGCAAUCUGGAUUAAGAACAUCCUGUAAAUAAAAAAGACGAUUUGUAAUUUGGAUCAGCCCAGUGACCUGCCCAGCCCCAACAGCAGCUGCAGAGCUGCAUGAGUGUGCAGAAGCAGCCCGAGGCAAGGCAGGGACAGGAGGAAGAUGUUCCCAAGCUGGUGUUGCAGCUGAUUUCCCCCUCCGUGAAAGUGCACCUGCCAGUGUGCUUCUUUUCUGGCGUGGAUAUCAGGGAAUUCCCCUGCAGUGCCUGAAAUAACACUGUAGGGAAGAACUACACAUCUGUGAGUUAUAUAUUAACAGUCACAGGUGACCUUUCGGAGAGUGGAGGAGUAACCAUCUCACCGAAUUACUGAUUAAAAUAAUAGCUCUUUUUCCAUUAUGCAGAGCACAGGUAUUAACUGCUAGGAAAAGACUGCCGAACUCUUUCAGUUCAGUGGUACCAUUUUCAGUUCCUUCUUACUUUUGUAAAUGUAAAUAAAUUGUUCAGAAGUUUUCAGUGAUAAAUAAAUGGCUCUGGCUGUUUCUUGUGGGGAGCAGAAGGGAGAAGGCAGGAAAUGUUUUAGCUAAAAUGUUGAGGGCAUUUCCAAGGAAAUGUCAGGAGAGUAACGUAUAAGCUUGCUUGUAUGUUACAGAAAAAAAUCUUAGCAGUCAUUCAGCAUUGUGCUCAUUUUUCCUUCUCCAGGUCUGACCUUGUUCUGUGUUGAGCACUACUGGAGAUCUGCUGCAGUGAAGUUUAUGUACUUAUGUCACUUAGGACACAAAUGAAUUGCUUUAACUUAAGCCUAAAAGCAAAAUCCUGCCAAAGAUGACAAAUCUAUAUACCACCAGUUAAAUGACUAAUGAUUUGUCUUUGAAGCUUCUGGUGAAAGCUGAAGCAUAAUGAAAGAAAAAAUAAUAAGAGGCAAUCCCCACAGACAGCAGAAUGAGCAAAUUUCCUGCGUAUGUGCCAGGGCAACGUCAGAGAGGGGUGUGCAGAGCAGCUGGUGUGGCUGUUCGGGCCACUCGGCAGGGCCAUGAGGACCACGCUCUGGGCUGGCUGCAGGGCAGAGGAGGGAGCUGCCAGCAGCCACCUCUGGUAUCAGACUUCACAAAUCAAACCAUGUCACUGCUGCAUAGAAAAUUCCCACAUUUCUUUCUUUCAUUGAUGAGAGGAGCACUGCAGAUGUGCGGACAUGGACAAAAGUAGCCAGUAUUUCCUCUCCUCUCUACAUGCUAAUCAGCCACGCUAAUGGGACACUCGCUAAUCCCUCUGGUUUUUGAAUUGAGAAAAGAAAUGCUCCUCAUCCCAGUAACUAAUGAAUCAUCCCUUUUAGUACAUGGCAUGCAUGACUGCAUUGUUAAAAGCAGUCUUAAUCACUCACUGAGAAAAAUGAUAUUGAUCAUUUCUCCCUUUUAGAGAUGUUGUUAACUGUAAGCCUCAGGAGCUCUGACUCACAGCCUGUGUGCUGCAGCAAGCCCAGAAUUACUACAGUAAAUUUGUAGCUAGUUAUAGAAGCCCCCUGAGUCUUAUUCUUUGUGUCUUCCUAGUAUGGCUAUAAUUUUGAAAGAUGGUAGAUUUCUUGGUUUUGUACCUUUGUAGGGAUCUCUGGUCUGCAGACAGAUUUGGACUGAACUGUACACCAAAGUUCAAAGAGGGGAGGUACUUUUGGUAGGCAAUUGACUUCUAGUGAGAACAGAGCAGAACAGGUCCUGAACUGGAGGAACUGUACACUCAAUUUUGCCUUUAGUUCUGUGCAUCUGAUGGACAACCUAUGUGUACAGCAGUUCAUCCUGCUUUAUGAGUGUACGACUAUGUAUCAACAAGACAGUGGAAUGAGGAAAAACAAUUAAUAAGAGUACAUUUAAAAGUCUUUAACAGCUUCCUGGAAAGAGGCUGAAUGGAUGUGAAGUAAGAAAUACAUUCUGUUGUUGUUGUCUAGGAAUUGCCAAUGGCAGAGCAAACAAAGUAAAUAGAUAAAAACUUUUCAACCCGAUGGGAAAAAAAAAAACUUUUCUGUUGUUGUUUCAAAUAUAAACAGAUGUACUGAUAGAGGGACUUGUGUAUUCUGUGCAUAGAAAAUACCAAACAGAAAGACUGAAGAUUGUUACCAAAGCCAAAUGGUCAAGUUUUCAGCUGUUGGGGGAAAGCAGGAAUCAAGACAGCCCACAUCCUCUUAAAUCAGCCCUUUUGUGCAUGUAUAUGCAUUAUAAGAGUAUGGUAUGACUGAAUUAUGUUAUUAUGUCCAGGUUAUUUAUUAGACUAGGAUCUCAACUUGUUAAUUGCUCCACAAAUGCAAAGGAAGGCCUGGGGCCUCCAUGGGGGGCAUGUAAGGGCAGUUCUGACUGUCAGUGACUGAAAGUGUGCUUGUUGAUACCAACACUUUCUGUUAUUUCCCCUAAAUAGCCCUUUUCAUUCACUCUGUACAGCAACCACCCCCCAUUUGUUGCCCAGUUCUGACACUGAGUGACAUGCUGCCAUCCAGCAGGUCCCCUUUGUCCCACCACUGCCUUCCUCAGCUGCUGGAAAACACAAUUUGCUUCUGCUGACAGCAGACUCUCAGGAGGCAGGAAGAGGGUAAAAAGGCAGCCGAUGAACUAAUGAUUGCUUGUGUAACCAAAAAUGCAUGUGUGACAAGACCUCAUCAUGUUUGGAUGUAGCUGGGGGCAAAGGUGAUGUGAAACAACGCUGACAUGAGCGGUUGGGGUGGAGAUGCCUGGAUGCUGCACAUGAUGCUUCCUCGCCUGUGCUGUCUGGUAGGCUGAGGUUGGUGGUAUGGCAGCUCGGUGAUUUGUUGGGCGCUGUUCAACUGUCACAGCUUUCUGUAACAAAUGAGUGCAGGGCACAGUAUGCUCAGUCCCUGAAGUCCACAGCAAAGAGGUGUCUUCAAAGGAACCAAGUUCACCCACAAUGGCUGAUGGCCUUUUAUUCUCUCAGCAGGCCUUUCUGGCAGCUCCAUCCCCACUCUCUGAGGAGAAAGGACAGGAGGCACUCCUGUCAGGACUGGUUCAAUGUAGGAUUAGGAUUCACUUAUGUGCUGUCCAAAUGCAGUUGAUGAUUUUUUAUUUGCUGCUGUGAAACAGCAGCCAGAAAAAUAAGUGUAGGCUACUCAUUAAAUGCAAAUUGCUAAUGACAAUGGGGAAAAACAGAGAAAAAGUAUCUCCAGAUCACUGGCAUGCUAAAAGGUACUCAAUAAAGGCACUCACUAGUAAUCACCA